rnacentral:rRNA from 1 species
GACGAACGCUGGCGGCGUGCCUAAUACAUGCAAGUUGAGCGCUGAAGGUUGGUACUUGUACCAACUGGAUGAGCAGCGAACGGGUGAGUAACGCGUAGGGAAUCUGCCUUUGAGCGGGGGACAACAUUUGGAAACGAAUGCUAAUACCGCAUAAAAACUUUAAACACAAGUUUUAAGUUUGAAAGAUGCAAUUGCAUCACUCAAAGAUGAUCCCGCGUUGUAUUAGCUAGUUGGUGAGGUAAAGGCUCACCAAGGCGAUGAUACAUAGCCGACCUGAGAGGGUGAUCGGCCACAUUGGGACUGGGACACGGCCCAAACCCCUACGGGAGGCAGCAGUAGGGAAUCUUCGGCAAUGGACGAAAGGCUGACCGAGCAACGCCGCGUGAGUGAAGAAGGUUUUUCGGAUCGUAAAACGCUGUUGGUAGAGAAGAACGUUGGUGAGAGUGGAAAGCUCAUCAAGUGACGGUAACUACCCAGAAAGGGACGGCUAACUACGUG